UGCCAGUGUGUGUGGAGGCGAUAAGUGUUAUCCUUCUUUAAUCUCCACUGUUAUAAACCUUUUAAUCUCUUCAGGUGUUCCACCUGGACCAUGAGCUCCGAGGGCUACUCCUGCAGUGAGGACAGUAUUUCUCCUGAAUUUACAGAGAAAAAUCUUUCUCUGGAUGAUAUAACAGACCACUCGGAGCCGUCCACACAGAGACUCUCUCCUGUUUCCAGCUGUGUGUCUAUGAAGAGUGAUAGAUCUAUGGAGCCUCCACACAGCUUCAGCCAAGCCUCCAGUGAUCCAUCCCAUCAACGAUCCCCCUUAUUGUGUCAUCGGAAGACACCGAUCUGUAAAUCCCGGUCCAGAAGUGCAUGCGUUUGUGACGAGACCUGUAGAGGUAAAACCCAUAAUCGCAUGCAUGCGCAGCCAUGUGCAUGCUGUGGUGGAAGCAUCCCUCGCUGCUGCAUGCAACAGGUCAGUCCACUGCUGUAUCUGAUCCAGUGUCAGUGUGGUGCUGAAAAUAGACCUGUGGUGUCCUGAGUAUUUAAGAACAGGGUGAAAGGAGGAUCGUAAUAAAGGCAAAGCAAUGAAGUUUAUCUGCA
rnacentral:lncRNA from 1 species